rnacentral:rRNA from 1 species
CACUGUCACUCCUACGGGAGGCAGCAGUGGGAAUAUUGCACAAUGGGCGCAAGCCUGAUGCAGCCAUGCCGCGUGUGUGAAGAAGGCCUUCGGGUUGUAAAGCACUUUCAGUCGUGAGGAAGGUGGUGUAGUUAAUAGCUGCAUCAUUUGACGUUAGCGACAGAAGAAGCACCGGCUAACUCCGUGCCAGCAGCCGCGGUAAUACGGAGGGUGCGAGCGUUAAUCGGAAUUACUGGGCGUAAAGCGCAUGCAGGUGGUUUGUUAAGUCAGAUGUGAAAGCCCCGGGGCUCAACCUCGGAAUAGCAUUUGAAACUGGCAGACUAGAGUACUGUAGAGGGGGUAGAAUUUCAGGUGUAGCGGUGAAAUGCGUAGAGAUCUGAAGGAAUACCGGUGGCGAAGGCGGCCCCCUGGACAGAUACUGACACUCAGAUGCGAAAGCGUGGGGAGCAAACAGGAUUAGAUACCCUGGUAG